GCUCAGAUUGAACGCUGGCGGCAGGCUUAACACAUGCAAGUCGAGCGGGGGAGAUUGCUUCGGUAAUUGACCUAGCGGCGGACGGGUGAGUAAUACUUAGGAAUCUGCCUAUUAAUGGGGGACAACAUCUCGAAAGGGAUGCUAAUACCGCAUACGCCCUACGGGGGAAAGCAGGGGAUCACUUGUGACCUUGCGUUAAUAGAUGAGCCUAAGUCGGAUUAGCUAGUUGGUGGGGUAAAGGCCUACCAAGGCGACGAUCUGUAGCGGGUCUGAGAGGAUGAUCCGCCACACUGGGACUGAGACACGGCCCAGACUCCUACGGGAGGCAGCAGUGGGGAAUAUUGGACAAUGGGGGGAACCCUGAUCCAGCCAUGCCGCGUGUGUGAAGAAGGCCUUAUGGUUGUAAAGCACUUUAAGCGAGGAGGAGGCUCUCUUGGUUAAUACCCAAGAAGAGUGGACGUUACUCGCAGAAUAAGCACCGGCUAACUCUGUGCCAGCAGCCGCGGUAAUACAGAGGGUGCGAGCGUUAAUCGGAUUUACUGGGCGUAAAGCGUGCGUAGGCGGCUUUUUAAGUCGGAUGUGAAAUCCCCGAGCUUAACUUGGGAAUUGCAUUCGAUACUGGGAAGCUAGAGUAUGGGAGAGGAUGGUAGAAUUCCAGGUGUAGCGGUGAAAUGCGUAGAGAUCUGGAGGAAUACCGAUGGCGAAGGCAGCCAUCUGGCCUAAUAC
rnacentral:rRNA from 1 species